GGAGGGACUAGAGGGAGGGAGGGAGGGAUGGCGUGGCGGCGGCCAUGUCCAAGUGCCUGGAGCUUGGUCUUCUUCCUCGGCUUGCUGCUCGCGGAGGCCGUCCAUGGCGCAGGGGCUCAGGCGGCCGCUCCUCCUCCGGCUCCUAGGCUCGUCCCGGCAGAAGGGCGUGUCCUUCGCCGGAUCGCGGCCGCGCUCGGCGUGUCGCACUGGGACUUCGCCGCCGGUCCCUGCGACUACAGCGGCUCCGGUGUGCACUGUGACUGCUCCUUCUCCAACGGCACCGUCUGCUAUGUCACCGAGAUAUCCCUCGAGAAGCAGAACUUCUCCGGCGAGCUCCCGCCUGACUUCGCCGACUUCCCCAACCUUCUCCAGCUAGAUCUGAGCAGGAACUUGUUCCAUGGUGGAGUGCCUGACCAGUGGGCCCGAAUGAAUAAGCUACAAGGACUGUCAAUGAUGGGAAAUAGAUUGUCAGGGCCAUUUCCCAUGGUUCUCACAAAGAUCACAACCCUGACUAACCUGAGCAUUGAAGGCAACGAAUUCCAUGGGCCAAUCCCUCCUGAAAUUGGAGGUCUCAUUCGAAUGCAGAAGCUAAUAUUAUCAGCCAAUGAGUUCACUGGACCCCUUCCAACUGCUCUUUCAUUGUUCAGUAAUUUAACUGACUUGAGGAUUUCUAGCACCAAUUUUUCCGGAAGGAUGCCUGAUUUCUGGGGGAAAUUGAAAAGACUUGAGAAAUUGCAAAUCGAAGGAUCUUUGUUGCAAGGGCCUAUUCCCUUAAGCCUAUCAGAAUUGACAAACCUUUACGAUCUGAGAAUUAGUGAUCUUAGAGGGAGUGGAUCAGCUUUACCUGAUUUAAGUGGAAUGCAAUCCAUGAAAACAUUGGUACUUAGGAAAUGUUCCAUCAGUGGAAGCAUCCCAUCUUAUAUUGGCUCAUGGACAACUCUUAAGCAUCUAGAUCUGAGUUUUAAUAAACUAAGUGGAGAAAUACCACCUUCUUUUGCUAACAUGCGAGGUGUAGAUUACAUAUAUCUGACGGGAAAUUCACUCACUGGGAACAUACCUGGAUGGAUAUUGAGAAGAAACAAGAUCGCAGACAUAUCUUUCAAUAACUUCACAGUGGGGAAUUCAGGACCGAGCCAAUGCCUUCCAGGGAGUGUCAAUCUGGUGGAGAGCUAUUCACCUGAAAUGAACAGUUUAAAUAGUGUUCAGCCAUGCUUAAAGAGGAAUUUCCCGUGUGUUGCUUCGAAUGGGCAAUAUCGAUCUUCAUUGUAUAUUAAUUGUGGUGACAAAGAAGCAACUAUCAAUGGAAUUAAAUAUGAAGCUGACACAACACCCAAAGGGGCUUCAUUGCUGUAUGUAACCCCAGGCUCAAACUGGGCAUUCAGCAGCACUGGGAAUUUUAUGGACGACAACAUAAAUGACGACAACUACAUUGCAACAAGUGCAUCAAAAUUGACCGUGCCCAAUUCAGAGUUGUACACUAAAGCCCGUCUUUCUCCUCUUUUGCUCACAUAUUAUGGGCUUUGCAUGUUAAGUGGGAGCUACACAGUUAAUCUCCACUUUGCUGAAAUUUGUUUUCACAAAUGACACCACAUAUUGUAGCCUUGGCAAAAGAAGAUUCAACGUGUUCAUACAGGGAAGAAUGGUGCUCGAGAAUUUCAAUAUUGAGCAGUUCUCUGGUGCAGCUGGAAAACCAGUUAUCAAGACUUUCCAAACACAUGUCACAAAUCAUACUCUAGAGAUUCAGUUCUAUUGGGCAGGAAGAGGGACAACAGGCAUUCCAUAUAGAGGUUCUUAUGGCCCUCUGAUAUCUGCAAUAUCAGUAACUCCAAAUUUCCAGAUUCCGCUGGCUGUUGAACCUCCAGCAACUCGAGAUAGCAAAAGGAGUUCAAGGGCAUCCAUUGCUUUAGUGAUUGGAAUCCCAACUAUAUCAAUAUUCACAACUCUAAUUGUUGGCAUUUAUUGUAUUAAGAAGCGGAAAAGGAGUUUGAUGGAUAAAGAACUCAGAGCUCUUGACCUGCAAAUUGGCUCCUUCACUUUGCGUCAAAUCAAAGCGGCAACUAGGAACUUCGAUGCAGCUAACAAGAUUGGUGAAGGUGGCUUUGGUUCAGUUUACAAGGGUUUAUUAUCCGAUGGCACCAUCAUCGCUGUCAAGCAGUUAUCAUCAAGGUCUAAACAAGGGAACCGGGAAUUUGUGAAUGAGAUAGGCAUGGUAUCUGCACUCCAGCAUCCUAACCUUGUCAAACUUUAUGGCUGUUGUACAGAAGGAAACCAGCUGUCACUGGUUUAUGAGUAUAUGGAAAACAAUUGCCUUGCACGAGCUCUUUUCGUUGAACAAUACAGACUGAGACUGGAUUGGCCAACAAGAUACAAGAUUUGCCUUGGGAUAGCAAGAGGUCUAGCAUAUCUGCAUGAGGAAUCCGCAAUAAGGAUUGUGCACCGAGAUAUCAAGGCCAGCAAUAUACUGCUUGACAAAGAUUUGAAUGCUAAGAUUUCAGAUUUUGGGCUAGCAAAGCUUAAUGAAGACGAUCACACCCACAUAAGCACAAAAGUAGCUGGAACAAUCGGAUACAUGGCUCCUGAGUAUGCUAUGCGUGGUUAUUUAACAGACAAAGCUGAUGUAUACAGUUUUGGUGUUGUUGCUUUGGAAGUUGUCAGUGGAAAAAGUAACACAAACUACAGGCCGAAGGAAGACUUUGUUUAUCUUCUAGAUUGGGCUUGUGUUCUACAUGAGAGAGGAACUCUCCUAGAAUUGGUAGAAUCAGAUCUAGGAUCUAAUUACUCAACAGAAGAGGCACUCCUGGUGUUGAAUGUUGCCCUGCUAUGCACAACUGCGGCGCCUACACUCAGACCAAAGAUGUCGAAAGUUGUUAGCCUGCUUGAGGGCCACACCCCUCUCCAGCCCUUGCUGUCAGACCUCAGCCUUGCAGCAAAUAGCCUGAGCUCAAGUGGUGUACGCCGGAACUUUUGGCAAAACCCAAGUGAGAGCCAGAGCCUGACAGCAGAAGCUUCGUAUAAUGACACUAAUGAACCAUCAACCAUAGAUAUAGAUGGUAGCCUGAGACCAUUGAUAAGUUAGAUGAAGAUGAUGUGCAUCAUAAACCAGGUGUACAUGUAAGAACUAUUAGGGAUAUGCCAGUAUGAUUAUAUCAACUUAUCAAGUAUCAACAGUGCAAUGUAAAUAUCAAGUAGCAAUAAUUUAGCAUAAAAUCGUUUAAUUCUGGUACGUUUGAAGCAUUUUAGCUGUCUCUGCUUCAGAUUCCAUGGGAAUAUUAAGGUAAUGAAUGAUGACCAUGAUGCAGCACUA